rnacentral:rRNA from 1 species
UACGUAGGGUGCAGGCGUUAAUCGGAAUUACUGGGCGUAAAGCGCGCGUAGGCGGCUUUGCAAGUCGGGUGUGAAAUCCCCAGGCUUAACCUGGGAACUGCAUUCGAGACUGCAUUGCUAGAGUAUGGGAGAGGGAAGUGGAAUUUCCGGUGUAGCGGUGAAAUGCGUAGAUAUCGGAAGGAACAUCAGUGGCGAAAGCGACUUCCUGGACCAAUACUGACGCUCAUGUGCGAAAGCGUGGGGAGCAAACAGG